GACGAACGCUGGCGGCGUGCUUAACACAUGCAAGUCGAACGGAAAGGCCCUGCUUUUGUGGGGUGCUCGAGUGGCGAACGGGUGAGUAACACGUGAGUAACCUGCCCUUGACUUUGGGAUAACUUCAGGAAACUGGGGCUCAUACCGGAUAGGAGCUCCUGCUGCAUGGUGGGGGUUGGAAAGUUUCGGCGGUUGUGGAUGGACUCGCGGCUUAUCAGCUUGUUGGUGGGGUAGUGACUUACCAAGGCUUUGACGGGUAGCCGGCCUGAGAGGGUGACCGGCCACAUUGGGACUGAGAGACGGCCCAGACGCCUACGGGAGGCAGCAGGGGGGAAUAUGGCACAAUGGGCGGAAGCCUGAUGCAGCAACGCCGCGUGCGGGAUGACGGCCUUCGGGUUGUAAACCGCUUUCGCCUGUGACGAAGAGUGAGUGACGGUAAUGGGUAAAGAAGCACCGGCUAACUACGUG
rnacentral:rRNA from 1 species